GGGAACUUUCCAUUUUCCAUCUGCAGUUUUAAAAAAUCAGAAUUAAAAUUCGAUCCAUGUCUGCUCAGAAGUAACUGUUUACAGGGGUAUAGCUAAAGAAUUCUUUUGCAUUUUAUAUCUACCAUAGCACAAACUUUGUGGACUUAAAUCUAUUGCAUUAAAUGUAUCUGAAUUCUUCUUUGUACUACUGUAGAGUUGCAGAUUAAUAGAUACUCUUGUAUGUAAGCAAAUUUUUAACAUUCUUAACAACAGAGUACAAAUAUGAGGGAGUGUUGCAGGGGCAGAGUUAGGGCAUAAAAUUUCUAUCUUCAAAUGUAAAUUUCAGCUGAAAAUAAUUAGAUGGGUAUAAUAAUUACAAGCUAAUACAUCCCAAACAGUAGCAGUAAACAAUAACACAAACAAUGGACAGGAAUAUCCAGUAUCACGUAAUUUUAGAAACUUUAAAUAUUUUAUUUAUUUAAGAAGCUUUAUCCCAUUCUUCAUCACAAGGUCUCAGGACGGGUCACAGUAGUAAAAAGAUAAAAUAUAUAAAGUAUUAAAACAUAUUUAAAAUAUUAACCUCCCUCCCUCGUCCCUGGCAGGACAGCACCCAGAGGAAGAUAAACAUGAAAGGCAUGCGUGAAGAGGUAUGUUUCUACCAGGCACCUAAAUGAAAACCAUACAAUGUAAGCGUCUGGCGAACCUCCAGAGGUACGCUGUUCCAGAGUCUGGGGACCACUACAGAAGAGGCCCUCUUGCGUGUCCCUGCUCGCCAAAGCUAAUAAUCAAGCGGGAAAAAAUCUUCUCCUGUAGGACAGAUAUCUGAUUUUAAAAAUACGACUAAAGUUCUGCCCCAGUGCAAUGCCAUUUGUGUCUCGUUGCCCAGAAAAAGUUCUCCUCCAUAAAGCCUCAGCACUCUCCUAAACCGGCUUACUUCACCUACUCCAACCAUGAAGUUCAGUGUGACUCCCGCUUUCUGAGAUUUCGAUUUCACCCUUAAGCGGCUCCAGUCCAGCAGCAGCUCCACGUGGCCACUCUUCCACUCACCACGCUUGAGCUCUCACCACCAGCCAAUCGGCAGCGGCUCUCGGGUCUCUCUUUCCUUUCUUGUGCUGAUGAUGUCUGCUCCAGUCUCUCGCGAGAACUGACUAGUAAACAGAUAGAUUCCCUCGCUCCCGCGGCUGCUACUGGCGCGCCGCUGCCACCCUCCCUCCCUCCAUUAGAGGUACAGGAGGGGGAAGCGGUGAGACGUUCCGGUUGCAGCUUGCAGGCAGUAGUAUUGGGAGAGCGAAGGAAGCCGGCUUGGAACAGGCACCACACCGAGCAAGUGAUCAUAAGAGAAACAGGAGCUAAAUUUGAGAAUGAUGACCAAAACCUUAUCUUGGUUAUGAAAGGAGUUUGGAAGCCAGUAUUAUAAGGAACACAGUAAAGGAGGAUGAAUUAAAAUAUGAAACAGCUUAAUCUGAAAUGAUAUCAUGAAGGAAGCUCAUCUGUUAUGACAAUUAAAAUAUUUUAAAUGCCGUAGUCAUCACUUGAAUAUAAAGAAUAAACUGGCAUUAUGCAUCA
rnacentral:lncRNA from 1 species